rnacentral:lncRNA from 1 species
UACAACAUCCCUAUAUGAUCAAGGAAUACUUACCCUUAAAUAUGAGUGAAUUCUGGGCUCUAAUGGUGUUAUAGUCAAUCAACCAAGAUUCUAGGGAUCGUAUAAAAAUAUAAAGGAUUUUAUCAAGACAUUAAUGGAAACUUACCUCAAAUUCGAUGAACAAACGCAUAAUUAACUAUACCAAAGCUGUAUAAUCACCCACUGUUGAUUCUCCCAAGAAUACCAACUUUUUAGGGCUCAAUAUUCUAU